UCCAGACUCCUACGGGAGGCAGCAGUCGGGAAUAUUGCGCAAUGGAGGAAACUCUGACGCAGUGACGCCGCGUAUAGGAAGAAGGUUUUCGGAUUGUAAACUAUUGUCGUGAGGGAAGAAGAUGACAGUACCUCAGGAGGAAGCUCCGGCUAACUAUGUGCCAGCAGCCGCGGUAAUACAUAGGGAGCAAGCGUUAUCCGGAUUUACUGGGUGUAAAGGGAGCGUAGACGGCAGCACAAGUCUGGAGUGAAAUCCCGGGGCUUAACCCCGGAACUGCUUUGGAAACUGUGCGGCUGGAGUGCAGGAGGGGUAAGCGGAAUUCCUAGUGUAGCGGUGAAAUGCGUAGAUAUUAGGAGGAACACCGGUGGCGAAGGCGGCUUACUGGACUGUAACUGACGUUGAGGCUCGAAAGCGUGGGGAGCAAACAGGAUUAGAUACCCGCGUAGU
rnacentral:rRNA from 1 species